rnacentral:rRNA from 1 species
UAACUGGAGGAAGGUGGGGAUGACGUCAAGUCCUCAUGGCCCUUAUAGGUGGGGCUACACACGUCAUACAAUGGCUGGUACAGAGGGUUGCCAACCCGCGAGGGGGAGCUAAUCCCAUAAAACCAGUCGUAGUCCGGAUCGCAGUCUGCAACUCGACUGCGUGAAGUCGGAAUCGCUAGUAAUCGCGGAUCAGCAUGCCGCGGUGAAUACGUUCCCGGGUCUUGUACACACCGCCCGUCACACCAUGGGAGCGGGUCUCGCCAGAAGUAGGUAGCCUAACCGCAAGGAGGGCGCUUACCACGGCGGGGUUCGUGACUGGGGUGAAGUCGUAACAAGGUAGCCGUAUCGGAAGGUGCGGUUGGAUCACCUCCU